AGCGAGGCGAAAGAAAAAUAAGCACUAACUAAACUGGUGAGAGUCGGCAGCUGCACGUUACCGGAGGAGGAUGGCGAGCUAACGGGAGAAUAGUCAAAAACAAUAGCCGUGGAUGCAGAGUCUACCGGCGAUCGUGGCUCAAGAGUUGGGAGUUCGCCUUGUAAUCGGACGGUUGCCGGUUCGAGCCUCGGCUCGGACAGUCUCGGUCGUUGUGUCCUUGGGCGAGACACUUCACCCGUUGCUGCCUACUGGUGGCGCCAGUGUCCGGCAGCCUCGCCUCUGUCAGUGCGCCCCACGGUGGCUGUGGCUGCAAUGUAGCUGCCAUCACCAGUGUGUGAAUGUGUAAAGCGCUCACAGGCUAUUUACCUUCCUGCUAUGCGCUGUUUACCCUGUGAUGAUGGAGGAAUCCUCUGGACCCUUCUGCUGUGGAUAGGAUUUCCGUGGGUUUGUCCCAGUGUACUCAGCAGCGUUGCCGGUUGCCUGCCCCUCAGCUCGCCCUCGCAUUUAGCCCAACGGAUUUGGGAGUAGACCUGAGCACGUGCGUUUUGUUUUUCUGCUUGUUUAACAAGUGAAGCGGCCGUUUGUGUGUUUUCUGGCCCAUCGAGCCCGAGCAACGACCAGGCCUGCAACGGUUUCAGUACAUGAGCUCGCAAAGGUUACAAAUCUGGACUGAACUUAAAAGGAUUGUGGGAUAAAUGUGUUUUCUAAAACAUUGACUGUGAGCGUGAAGAGAAAACAUCCAAUUGAAUUGUAAGGAAACGCUUCAGAACUUGGAAUAUUGUAUGUUUUUUUAAAUCAUACUUUAUUUUGACUAAAUACAUUUUGAAUUUAAAGUUUUGUGUCAUAAUUAUUAUUUACAGAGUUUGUAAGUGGUAACGGUUACUACAAAGUAACAACGGGUUAACAUGUUAGAUAAAUUCAUGAUUCUUAGUGAAGAUUAAACAGAACUCAUUAUUUUCACUGAGUGGAGGCACCGCCAAUAUCAAGACUUCUAAGUACAAAGGUUAAAACUGGUUAAUUGUUUCUGCUGUUUACCAGUAAAAUUAAGUAACGUACCAGGGCCCCGCUCAUAGUACUAUCAUCACCUUAACCGAGAGUUAAUCCUGAGCUAUAAAAUAAUAUAUAAAAAAAUAAAAUAUAAAAAUUAAAGUUAAAAAUGAAAUAACUUCAUUCUAAUUUGUGUUGUACAGUUAUUUCAUUUUUAACUUAAAUUUUCAUAUUUUGUUUUAUUCCUUCCUAGUUAAAUUUACCCUUUUUAAUUUUCAUAUUUAUUUCCUAUCUUAUUCAUAGCCUUUUCUUCUUUUCUUUUUUUUAGGUCACGAGCAGUUGUCUAAGCAUUUCACUGCAUAUCGUACUGUGUAUGACUGUGUACGUGACAAAUAAAAUUUGAAUUUGAGCUACGUGAGUUGGGUGCUACAUUAGUGAUGAUGCAGCGCCCCGAUGAUGGUUUGACCUCUGAGGCACCAAAAAAUAGAAAACAGUAUGAGGCUAUAAACAGGUUAAAAAGCUAAUACCAGUCCUGUGUACUUUAUCAUAGUGGAGGGUCUGUCUGCGUACAGGAUCGUUAGCACGAAGACAGAUUUUGAAAGAUGGUAAAAACAAUGAAAUCUCCAGCUUGAUGCUCCAAGCAAAACUCGACUGACUACAGUGUGGAGUUAAAGAAAGGUUAAAAAGUGUCAAACUGUGCG
ensembl:lncRNA